rnacentral:tRNA from 1 species
GGAUGAUUAGCUCAGUUGGUUAGAGCGUCACAUUGACAUUGUGAAGGUCACUGGUUCGAAUCCAGUAUCAUCCA